rnacentral:rRNA from 1 species
UACGUAGGAGGCAAGCGUUGUCCGGAAUUAUUGGGCGUAAAGAGCUCGUAGGCGGCCAGUUGCGUCUGCUGUGAAAUCCCGGGGCUCAACCCCGGGCGUGCAGUGGAUACGGGCUGGCUAGAGGCAGGCAGGGGAGAACGGAAUUCCCGGUGUAGCGGUGAAAUGCGCAGAUAUCGGGAGGAACACCGGUGGCGAAGGCGGUUCUCUGGGCCUGUACUGACGCUGAGGAGCGAAAGCGUGGGGAGCGAACAGG